rnacentral:tRNA from 1 species
UCUGAAAUAGCUCAGUUGAUAGAGCGUCAGACUAUCAAUCGAGAUGUCCUCGGUUCGAUCCCGGGUUCCGACA